rnacentral:lncRNA from 1 species
GAAUCUGGACCCUCGAGCGGAGGAUCUUGGCGUCGGAUCCGUAUCUUGGAGCGGAGGAGCUCGGUGCCGAUCCAGACGCUGGAGCAGUCCCACCCCCACGUUAAGUCCAGCAGCGAGCACUUCAAGGCAAAACUGGUCCACAUCGAGCUGCUCAGGUGACUCAUGUGUUCCCCCAUGUGGUUCUAUAUCCAUCUUUCUGCAGGGAUUUUACUAGCAUGCCGGUGGUGAGGGAUCUGCACGGCCAGGGUCUGACGCUCGACGGAACCUGAUCUGAAUGAAUCCAAGUGCCAUGAUGCCAAUACUGCAGAUUUUGCUCACCCAGUGCAAUGACCAGAGCUUGCAUUCGGAUUCCUAAAAAUCUAGUAUUUCACAUUCCAUUCCAGGAGAUACUUAAAUCUUAGCUUCGACCAUGUUUGUUUUUUUUAGAGUAAUUUUUAAUCAAAUGCUAUGCAGACCCAUGGGUUGAGGAAUAAAGCAACACUGGAAGUUUAUGAGAGAUAUAUUUUUUUAUUUCAAAUAUGUUGUUUGCUACGGCAUGCUUAUCAUGAUUGGAGGUUCAUGUUAUGUGAUAGUCUUAUUCAUCUGUGGGUAUGAAGAUUUAUUAAUGUCUUACACAAAUUUGUGAGGACACAAGUGAAUCCUAUAUGUAUUCCAAAAUUAUCUUCACUUCUACAGGCUCUACUUCUUCCCAUUUUCACAAAUGUGUUAUGGAAGUAGGUAGUAUUAAUUUAGUUGGCCCAACUAAUUAUACAUUAGCUUCAAUAAAUUCUUGUGUAUUGUUUUAUGAUUUUUUGGUUGGAAAUUUCAUAUCAUUAAGAGAGCUCUCUACUUUUAUUUUGCAUACCUAACUUAGUUUUCAGUUUUAUAUUCUUUGUAUGAAUCAGUUUGGAUGUAGUUUCAGUUACCGUUUGUAUUUCUAUCUAUCUUGU